rnacentral:rRNA from 1 species
GAUGAACGCUAGCUACAGGCUUAACACAUGCAAGUCGAGGGGAAACGGCAUUGAGUGCUUGCACUCUUUGGACGUCGACCGGCGCACGGGUGAGUAACGCGUAUCCAACCUUCCCAUUACUGUGGGAUAACCUGCCGAAAGGCAGACUAAUACCGCAUAGUCUUCGAUGACGGCAUCAGAUUUGAAGUAAAGAUUUAUCGGUAAUGGAUGGGGAUGCGUCUGAUUAGCUUGUUGGCGGGGUAACGGCCCACCAAGGCGACGAUCAGUAGGGGUUCUGAGAGGAAGGUCCCCCACAUUGGAACUGAGACACGGUCCAAACUCCUACGGGAGGCAGCAGUGAGGAAUAUUGGUCAAUGGACGGAAGUCUGAACCAGCCAAGUAGCGUGCAGGAUGACGGCCCUAUGGGUUGUAAACUGCUUUUGUAUGGGGAUAAAGUUAGGGACGUGUCCCUAUUUGCAGGUACCAUACGAAUAAAGACCGGCUAAUUCCGU